rnacentral:rRNA from 1 species
AUUGAACGCUGGCGGCAGGCCUAACACAUGCAAGUCGCACGAGUGGCGGACGGGUGAGUAAUGUCUGGGAAACUGCCUGAUGGAGGGGGAUAACUACUGGAAACGGUAGCUAAUACCGCAUACCAUCAGAUGUGCCCAGAUGGGAUUAGCUUGUGGGUGGGGUAACGGCUCACCAAGGCGACGAUCCCUAGCUGGUCUGAGGGGAUGACCGUGCACACGGGAACUGGGACACGGUCCAGACUCCUACGGGAUGCGGCAGUGGGGAAUAUUGCACAAUGGCGCAAGCCUGAUGCAGCCAUGCCGCGUGUAUGAAGAAGGCCUUCGGGUUGUAAAGUACUUUCAGCGGUGAGGCGUUACCCGCAGGAGAAGCACCGGCUAACUCCGUGCCAGCAGCCGCGGUAAUUC